AUGCAGAUAUGCAAACAGGGUUUAGCACAGCACCUAGUUACUGGCAACAUUCUGACUUUCUGCAGUUAUCAAUUUGUUAAGUACCUGUUUUUUGCCUUUCAGCCCUGUCCUCCAGGAGUUACUGCCAACCCGAUAGAUCUGGUGCCAUGUUGCCAUGGUUAUGUAGGUGGGGCCAACAUCUACAACUCCCGAAAAUCCGAGGAGGAAUUAGCCUUGGGAUCACCUCCCAAGAGAAUGUUUGCCCUGUAUCACCCGUCAUACAAUGGAUCUCAGGGUCUGUCUCGAACUUUGCAUCACUACAGUGCGGAGGACCCUUGUCGGCUUCCAGCCCCCUGUCUGCCCUUCUCACCCCCUCAUUCUGCUGGCCAGAGGUUUGAGCAAUGCCCCUCACUGUUCCUGCGUGAUGUCACUCCCUACCCCAACGGAGUGGGCAUGGAAGGGUCUGCGGCAAGAGGCUGGGGCGGUGGGGAGGCCGUCAGGAUUCUGGCCAGACGCGUCACGCCAGAUGGAAAAGUCCAGUACUUAGUGGAAUGGGGAAACGUGGCGGUUUACUAAAAGAUAGAAAGAAGAGAGUGAAUAUAUAUGAGAGAAAGAUAGAGAGAGCAGGUAAGUGAGAGGAAGAAAGACAGUACAUAAUACUCAACAGUUGGCAAGAAGAGUGAGGAAAGCUGUGUGAACUUGCUGAUUGGGUGGGAUAUAUAUGUAUAUGUGUGUGUGUGUGUGUGUGUGUAUAUAUAUACAUAUAUAUACACACACAUGUGGCUGGACUCGAGUCAAAGCAAACAAAGGAAAAAAAAACAUGAAACAAAUCCAGGUUGAGCUCAACAGCAACUUCACUCUGUGGGAUUAUACUGUUAGAUCUCUUUUCCCCCACAGACGUCUCCUAUAUUUUGAAUACUGUUAGAAAACACCCUUAGAAUGCCUUGAACUUUACUAUCAUGAUUUGUAUUAUAUAUAUACAAUAUAAGCUAUCCAUGGUAAUUAUAUGUUGUUAAUGCACUCAUCAUAGUUCAGGAGGUGAGAAUUUGAAGAAAGGUUUAUCGGGAGGUCAUAAAGUACACCUGUAAUUGUAAUAUUACCUUAACAGGUACGAAAAGCAGCCUUGAGAAAUAAUCCAAGUCGCAUUUAGGCAUUCGUCUUAAUAUGCAAACCUUUUGAUUGAUGAUCUAACAGGAGGUCUGACCAACAAUAUAAUUAGGCAAUAGAGAAAAGUUCGUUUUGCACGUUUGCGGAUCACCUGAUACAAAAAUGUUGAGCACCUUCAUUAUUCAUUUUAUUCAAGUACACCUUCAAGUGCUCACGGUGUCCUUUUUGGGUCAGGUCAUGAUCCAUACUGAGGAAAUUUAAAAUUUCACAUCCUCAAACAUUGACGUUUCACUCAUGAUCUUCAUGUCAGAUUGUAACCCUAUUUAAGACAGAUGAUGCUAACUAAGCUACACUGACACAGAACUUCCAUUCUAACUAGCUGACAUUUUCAUACCUAAUUCUGUUACCAGUUGGUAAGACAUUGUGAAACUUUUUUAAGUUCUUAUAUAUGCCAUCUAACCCAUCAGUAAGUGUGCACAGCAAAAAAAAAAAGGGAAAAAAAGUUGAAGUUAAAGGGAUCAGCUGAAAAAUGUUUCUUCAGUUUUUAAAUUAGCUCAGUGAAUGUAAUCACUUUAGAUUUACUUUUUACUGAUUCAGCUACACUGAGCUAAUUUAAAAGUUUUAGAUGUGGUAAUUAUGUGUGUGCGCAGCGUCCUCAAAUGAUUUAAACAGCCUACUGUAAAUCCUGUAACACCAAUGCGGGAAGAAAUGUACAGCUAUAGAUAACAUUUUCCCACCAUGCAAAAUCCAGACUAUUUAUAGGCCCAUAUAGGUACACACACACACACACACACACACACACACACACACACACGUACAUGCACUUCAUUACACCACCUCCCUGUAUUUACACUUUGUCUAUUUUUUAAGGUCCAUUUAUUAAAUAGGGGCAGUUUUUACAUCUACAAUUACAGACUGUAGCCCAUCUAAUCUUCUGCACACUUUGUUAGCCCCUAUUCAUCCUGUUCUUAAAUGGUCAGGACCCUCACAGGACACAGAAUUUUUUUAGUGUCACAUUUUUUUUGUGGACCGAUAAUAGUCCACCAACCAAAAAUAUCCAGCCAGCAGCGUCCUGUGGAUAGUGUCUUAUGACCGCUGAUGAAGGACUAGAGAAUGACAAACACAAACUGUGCAGCAGCAGAUGAGCUUUCCUCUCUGACUUUACAUCUGCAAGGUUGAUCAACAAGCUAGGAGUGUGUAAUAGAGUAGACAGUGAGUGGACACAGAAUGCCAGCAGCACUGCUGUAUCUGAUCCACUCGUACCAGCGUAACACACACUAACAUGCCACCACUAGGGUGAAAGUGGAGCUUACUAAGUGUGCAGAGGAACAGAUAACUACAGUUUGUUAUUGUAGGAUUACAAAGUAGUUAGAAAAAUGAAAAAAUGGACAGUGAGUGUAGAAACAAGGAUGUUUAUCUAACAAAGUGGCCAGUAAGUGUGUGUGUGUGUGUGUGUAUGUGUAUGUAUAUAUAUAUAUAUAUAUAUAUAUAUAUAUAUAUAUAUAUAUAUAUAUAUAUAUACAUAUACAUACACACCACAAAACUUGGUAUAUCUUGGCAUUUUUCAGCUUUUGACAGAAUUUGAAAAUGCCUGUGGCCCUUUACAUCUCCUGAUGAUUUGGACCAAAAGAAAUGGCCCAAAGUUACAUUGUAAAAAAAAUCUGAUUUACAUUUUCUUAUAUUAACGUUAAAGUAUGUUUUUCCUUCUCCUGUAAAGUUCACUUUUUGAGAUAUAAGGUUUUUUCCCAACAACAGCGAUAUAUAUAUAUAUAUAUAUACACUCUCAAUGCUUUCUCACAGGGAAACUUCAUUUGCUUCCGUUUAAAAUAAGACGACAUAUAACACUAUUUAAAGACUACAUACUGUCCGCAUACUUGUCAGUACUGCCUCAGAACAAAACCUUAUCUGAUUGGCAAGUAAAUGAUUUUAAAAGGUUGAGAACAUUUGAGACCCAUGUGAGCUGGUAAAUAUUUUAGUUCUUGAUGUGGAGAUGAUAAAUAUUAGCCUUAAUUAAAUGUGUUUUUAUUGCAAAAAAGUCUCAGCUGCAGAUGCAUGUCGUUCAACUGGCCAUUUCCUGUCAAAGUAGGCGGUUCCUUGCCCCAUUAAGCGGUAAGAUGCACACUUUCUGAAAGUAGCAGAAGUCUGGCCUUGAGACUAAGGGAACAAAAGGCCUCAUUCAGCGAAAUCUUUUUAAGUCAUUUCUUAAAUGUGUUCUUGAGGAAGGUCCUAAGAAAAAGUCUGUCAGAUUCAUGACGUCCUUAAACCGUAGAAAUGUUCCCACCUUUGUGCUCUUGAGUGUGUAGAUUCUGUUCUUACCUGAGAACAAAUCCCAAAUAGAAAAACACUGGUCAGUGCCAGAAUCUUUGUGAAAACUGUGUAAGUGGGUUUUAAGAAGGAAAUUCUUAAGAACUGUGGCGAUUGAGGCCCACCGACCUUGAAUUCUUUGAGUAAAAUAAAAAAGGAAGCACUUUGUAUCUUUGUGUCUUUGGGAUACUGCACCUUUAGUAAGGUGUUCAGGCUGUUAUGUUACAGGAUUUUACAGUUUCACUGUAAUCAAAUCAUUUAAGUAAUUUAGUGUUGGGUUUUAUCCUAUUUGAGGUCCUAGUUAUGACAUUAAUAGAAUUUCAGUUACGACUAAGGCCUUUGGAUGCAACUGUGUACAUGCCUAUGGAUGCAAGACUCUGCAUGGAACGUUUAGAAACCCACACAGUCCUUGUACUGAUUAGAGACAGAUUAUUUCCUCUGAGCAGAAGUUUGGUCAGUCUAAGCAGUAACUCCACAUGUGAAAGAGGUGAGCUUCAUCAGUGAAUGAAUCGAAUGUAUUUUAUUUUUUUUAAUUCAUGAGAAAUCAUGUACAAUGCACCUGUGAAGUGUUUUUUAGAACAUAGACAGAUUUUUAAAAAACAAUUCAGGGUUAACUUUAACUUUAAAGUCAAGGGACAAAAACUAGCAGACUGUACUUUUUUUUCCCUUUUUUGUUCUUUUUUUGCUUUUGGUUGAAAUGUUGUCAAGUCCAAGUUUGGUUCGAUGUUAUCUAUGACUUUUGGUCAAAUUAAGUUUAUACAGUGUGUACAGUAGGUCAAUACUUAUAAUGUGAACAACUAAUAAAAAUUGCCCAUUACAUCGUAGCAGGAAUCUAACGAGUAGCCUGUCCUUGACCGCCUCCUCCUUUCAUCCUUUAUAUUUCUUCAUGGGUUUAAUUUGAGAAUAAAAAAAAAUAAGAAACAUACUUUUCUGCCUUUAGACAAGUUUUUCCAAACGUAGAG
ensembl:lncRNA